rnacentral:tRNA from 1 species
GUUCCCAUGGCGUAGUGGUCACUGCGCUCGCUUUGCACGCGGGAGACCCGGGUUCGAUUCCCGGCGGGGUCA